UUAAGCGACUAAGCGUACACGGUGGAUGCCCUGGCAGUCAGAGGCGAUGAAGGACGUGCUAAUCUGCGAUAAGCGUCGGUAAGGUGAUAUGAACCGUUAUAACCGGCGAUUUCCGAAUGGGGAAACCCAGUGUGUUUCGACACACUAUCAUUAACUGAAUCCAUAGGUUAAUGAGGCGAACCGGGGGAACUGAAACAUCUAAGUACCCCGAGGAAAAGAAAUCAACCGAGAUUCCCCCAGUAGCGGCGAGCGAACGGGGAGCAGCCCAGAGCCUGAAUCAGUGUGUGUGUUAGUGGAAGCGUCUGGAAAGGCGCGCGAUACAGGGUGACAGCCCCGUACACAAAAAUGCACAUGCUGUGAGCUCGAUGAGUAGGGCGGGACACGUGGUAUCCUGUCUGAAUAUGGGGGGACCAUCCUCCAAGGCUAAAUACUCCUGACUGACCGAUAGUGAACCAGUACCGUGAGGGAAAGGCGAAAAGAACCCCGGCGAGGGGAGUGAAAAAGAACCUGAAACCGUGUACGUACAAGCAGUGGGAGCCUCUUUUAUGGGGUGACUGCGUACCUUUUGUAUAAUGGGUCAGCGACUUAUAUUCUGUAGCAAGGUUAACCGAAUAGGGGAGCCGAAGGGAAACCGAGUCUUAACUGGGCGUUAAGUUGCAGGGUAUAGACCCGAAACCCGGUGAUCUAGCCAUGGGCAGGUUGAAGGUUGGGUAACACUAACUGGAGGACCGAACCGACUAAUGUUGAAAAAUUAGCGGAUGACUUGUGGCUGGGGGUGAAAGGCCAAUCAAACCGGGAGAUAGCUGGUUCUCCCCGAAAGCUAUUUAGGUAGCGCCUCGUGAAUUCAUCUCCGGGGGUAGAGCACUGUUUCGGCAAGGGGGUCAUCCCGACUUACCAACCCGAUGCAAACUGCGAAUACCGGAGAAUGUUAUCACGGGAGACACACGGCGGGUGCUAACGUCCGUCGUGAAGAGGGAAACAACCCAGACCGCCAGCUAAGGUCCCAAAGUCAUGGUUAAGUGGGAAACGAUGUGGGAAGGCCCAGACAGCCAGGAUGUUGGCUUAGAAGCAGCCAUCAUUUAAAGAAAGCGUAAUAGCUCACUGGUCGAGUCGGCCUGCGCGGAAGAUGUAACGGGGCUAAACCAUGCACCGAAGCUGCGGCAGCGACGCUUAGGCGUUGUUGGGUAGGGGAGCGUUCUGUAAGCCUGCGAAGGUGUGCUGUGAGGCAUGCUGGAGGUAUCAGAAGUGCGAAUGCUGACAUAAGUAACGAUAAAGCGGGUGAAAAGCCCGCUCGCCGGAAGACCAAGGGUUCCUGUCCAACGUUAAUCGGGGCAGGGUGAGUCGACCCCUAAGGCGAGGCCGAAAGGCGUAGUCGAUGGGAAACAGGUUAAUAUUCCUGUACUUGGUGUUACUGCGAAGGGGGGACGGAGAAGGCUAUGUUGGCCGGGCGACGGUUGUCCCGGUUUAAGCGUGUAGGCUGGUUUUCCAGGCAAAUCCGGAAAAUCAAGGCUGAGGCGUGAUGACGAGGCACUACGGUGCUGAAGCAACAAAUGCCCUGCUUCCAGGAAAAGCCUCUAAGCAUCAGGUAACAUCAAAUCGUACCCCAAACCGACACAGGUGGUCAGGUAGAGAAUACCAAGGCGCUUGAGAGAACUCGGGUGAAGGAACUAGGCAAAAUGGUGCCGUAACUUCGGGAGAAGGCACGCUGAUAUGUAGGUGAAGCGACUUGCUCGUGGAGCUGAAAUCAGUCGAAGAUACCAGCUGGCUGCAACUGUUUAUUAAAAACACAGCACUGUGCAAACACGAAAGUGGACGUAUACGGUGUGACGCCUGCCCGGUGCCGGAAGGUUAAUUGAUGGGGUCAGCGCAAGCGAAGCUCUUGAUCGAAGCCCCGGUAAACGGCGGCCGUAACUAUAACGGUCCUAAGGUAGCGAAAUUCCUUGUCGGGUAAGUUCCGACCUGCACGAAUGGCGUAAUGAUGGCCAGGCUGUCUCCACCCGAGACUCAGUGAAAUUGAACUCGCUGUGAAGAUGCAGUGUACCCGCGGCAAGACGGAAAGACCCCGUGAACCUUUACUAUAGCUUGACACUGAACAUUGAGCCUUGAUGUGUAGGAUAGGUGGGAGGCUUAGAAGUGUGGACGCCAGUCUGCAUGGAGCCGACCUUGAAAUACCACCCUUUAAUGUUUGAUGUUCUAACGUUGACCCGUAAUCCGGGUUGCGGACAGUGUCUGGUGGGUAGUUUGACUGGGGCGGUCUCCUCCUAAAGAGUAACGGAGGAGCACGAAGGUUGGCUAAUCCUGGUCGGACAUCAGGAGGUUAGUGCAAUGGCAUAAGCCAGCUUGACUGCGAGCGUGACGGCGCGAGCAGGUGCGAAAGCAGGUCAUAGUGAUCCGGUGGUUCUGAAUGGAAGGGCCAUCGCUCAACGGAUAAAAGGUACUCCGGGGAUAACAGGCUGAUACCGCCCAAGAGUUCAUAUCGACGGCGGUGUUUGGCACCUCGAUGUCGGCUCAUCACAUCCUGGGGCUGAAGUAGGUCCCAAGGGUAUGGCUGUUCGCCAUUUAAAGUGGUACGCGAGCUGGGUUUAGAACGUCGUGAGACAGUUCGGUCCCUAUCUGCCGUGGGCGCUGGAGAACUGAGGGGGGCUGCUCCUAGUACGAGAGGACCGGAGUGGACGCAUCACUGGUGUUCGGGUUGUCAUGCCAAUGGCACUGCCCGGUAGCUAAAUGCGGAAGAGAUAAGUGCUGAAAGCAUCUAAGCACGAAACUUGCCCCGAGAUGAGUUCUCCCUGACUCCUUGAGAGUCCUGAAGGAACGUUGAAGACGACGACGUUGAUAGGCCGGGUGUGUAAGCGCAGCGAUGCGUUGAGCUAACCGGUACUAAUGAACCGUGAGGCUUAACCUU
rnacentral:rRNA from 2 species